UGACGAAUAUGAUCCCCCGAGUUUCUGUCGCUCCAUCCAAGUAAAUGCCAAUUGUUCGAACUGUUAAUAUAAAUGAGCAUUAACUUUAUAAGCUCUGGUUAUGGUUAUGCAGUUCCGGCAGUAAAAAACUCAUGUAAAAACGACGGUGUGUUAAAAUUUUAAUGCUAAUGUACAAAUUACGAUGUACUGAAUGUCAAAUAUUUGACAUUCAAAGUAACAAACUUUUGUAAUUUUAUUUAAUUAAUUUAAAUUUAUCGUUUUUAAUUAAAAACAUUUUAAAAUUUAUUCUGUUCCAGGUAAUUAUGUGCUACUGCAUGUUAAAUAUACUUUUUAGUCUGCC